rnacentral:rRNA from 1 species
GAUGAACGCUGACAGAAUGCUUAACACAUGCAAGUCAACUUGAACUUCGGUUUGGGUGGCGGACGGGUGAGUAACGCGUAAAGAACUUGCCUCACAGAUAGGGACAACAUUUGGAAACGAAUGCCAAUACCUGAUAUUAUGAUUAUAUGGCAUCGUAUAAUUAUGAAAGCUAUAUGCGCUGUGAGAGAGCUUUGCGUCCCAUUAGCUAGUUGGAGAGGUAACGGCUCACCAAGGCGAUGAUGGGUAGCCGGCCUGAGAGGGUGAUCGGCCACAAGGGGACUGAGACACGGCCCUUACUCCUCCGGGAGGCAGCAGUGGGGAAUAUUGGACAAUGGACCAAGAGUCUGAUCCAGCAAUUCUGUGUGCACGAUGAAGUUUUUCGGAAUGUAAAGUGCUUUCAGUUGGGAAGAAAAAAAUGACGGUACCAACAGAAGAAGUGACGGCUAAAUACGUG